rnacentral:rRNA from 1 species
AUACGUAGGGGGCAAGCGUUAUCCGGAUUUACUGGGUGUAAAGGGAGCGUAGACGGCAAAGCAAGUCUGAAGUGAAAGCCCCGGGCUCAACCCGGGAAUUGCUUUGGAAACUGUUUAGCUGGAGUGCAGGAGAGGUAAGCGGAAUUCCUAGUGUAGCGGUGAAAUGUGUAGAUAUUAGGAGGAACACCGGCGGCGAAGGCGGCUUACUGGACUGUAACUGACGUUGAGGCUCGAAAGCGUGGGGAGCAAACAGGAUUAGAUACCCUGGUAGUCCACGCCGUAAACGAUGAUUACUAGGUGUUGGUUGUCAUAGACAAUCGGUGCCGCAGCAAACGCAAUAAGUAAUCCACCUGGGGAGUACGUUCGCAAGAAUGAAACUCAAAGGAAUUGACGGGG